rnacentral:rRNA from 1 species
UACGUAGGGUGCAAGCGUUGUCCGGAAUUAUUGGGCGUAAAGAGCUCGUAGGCGGUUUGUUGCGUCGGCUGUGAAAUCCCGAGGCUCAACCUCGGGUCUGCAGUCGAUACGAGCAAACUAGAGUGUUGCAGGGGAGACUGGAAUUCCUGGUGUAGCGGUGAAAUGCGCAGAUAUCAGGAGGAACACCGGUGGCGAAGGCGGAUCUCUGGGCCUUACCUGACGCUGGAGGCGACGAAAAGCUAGGGGAGCAAACAGG